AUUGAACGCUGGCGGCAUGCCUUACACAUGCAAGUCGAACGGCAGCACAGGGGCAACCCUGGUGGCGAGUGGCGAACGGGUGAGUAAUGCAUCGGAACGUGCCCAGUAGUGGGGGAGUAACUAGUCGAAAGAUUAGCUAAUACCGCAUACGCCCUACCAGGGGAAAGGCGGGGACGUUCGGGUCCGUCGCGCUAUUAGAUGAGCCUAA
rnacentral:rRNA from 1 species